CCUACGGGUGGCUGCAGUAAGGAAUAUUGGUCAAUGGACGAAAGUCUGAACCAGCCAUGCCGCGUGAAGGAUUAAGGCCCUCUGGGUUGUAAACUUCUUUUAUCUGGGACGAAAAAAGGGUAUUCUUACUCACUUGACGGUACCAGAGGAAUAAGCACCGGCUAACUCCGUGCCAGCAGCCGCGGUAAUACGGAGGGUGCAAGCGUUAUCCGGAUUUACGGGGGUGAAAGGGGGCGUGGAAGGCAGUGUAGAAAUCUCCGAGCUUAACUCGGAAACUGCCGUUGAUACUAUAAAUCUUGAAUUAUAUGGAGGUAAGCGGAAUAUGUCAUGUAGCGGUGAAAUGCUUAGAUAUGACAUAGAACACCAAUUGCGAAGGCAGCUUACUACGUAUUUAUUGACACUGAGGCACGAAAGCGUGGGGAUCAAACAGGAUUAGAUACCCCAGUAGUC
rnacentral:rRNA from 1 species